AUUGAACGCUGGCGGCAGGCCUAACACAUGCAAGUCGAGCGGAUGAAGGGAGCUUGCUCCUGGAUUCAGCGGCGGACGGGUGAGUAAUGCCUAGGAAUCUGCCUGGUAGUGGGGGAUAACGUCCGGACACGGGCGCUAAUACCGCAUACGUCCUGAGGGUGAAAGGGGGGGAUCUUCGGACCUCACGCUAUCAGAUGAGCCUAGGUCGGAUUAGCUAGUUGGUGGGGUAAAGGCCUACCAAGGCGACGAUCCGUAACUGGUCUGAGAGGAUGAUCAGUCACACUGGAACUGAGACACGGUCCAGACUCCUACGGGAGGCAGCAGUGGGGAAUAUUGGACAAUGGGCGAAAGCCUGAUCCAGCCAUGCCGCGUGUGUGAAGAAGGUCUUCGGAUUGUAAAGCACUUUAAGUUGGGAGGAAGGGCAGUAAGUUAAUACCUUGCUGUUUUGACGUUACCAACAGAAUAAGCACCGGCUAACUUCGUG
rnacentral:rRNA from 1 species